ensembl:misc_RNA Metazoa_SRP Metazoan signal recognition particle RNA
ACUGUUAGCAGCGUAGAAUUGAGGAGUUGGAAGAGACCUUUAGAACAGCUGGUCAUUAUGCCAACUGGGUGUCCAAACUAAGUUGGGCAUCAAUAUGGUGACUUCCUGGGAGCAGGGCACUACCAGCUUACCUAAGGAUGGGUGAACUGGCCCAGGUCAGAAAUGAAGCAGGUCAGAACUCCCAUGCUGAUCGGUAGUGGGACUGCACCUGGGCAGCAUAGCGAGCCCUUGGCUCUUAAAAAAGAAU